CCUACGGGAGGCAGCAGUGAGGAAUAUUGGUCAAUGGGCGCGAGCCUGAACCAGCCAAGUAGCGUGAAGGAUGACUGCCCUACGGGUUGUAAACUUCUUUUGUAAGGGAGUAAAGUGAGGCACGUGUGCCUUUUUGUAUGUACUUUAUGAAUAAGGAUCGGCUAACUCCGUGCCAGCAGCCGCGGUAAUACGGAGGAUCCGAGCGUUAUCCGGAUUUAUUGGGUUUAAAGGGUGCGUAGGUGGGUUGUUAAGUCAGUUGUGAAAGUUUGGGGCUCAACCGUGAAAUUGCAAUUGAUACUGGCAGUCUUGAGGACAGUUGAGGUAGGCGGAAUGCGUGGUGUAGCGGUGAAAUGCUUAGAUAUCACGAAGAACUCCGAUUGCGAAGGCAGCUUACUAAACUGCAACUGACGUUGAUGCACGAAAGUGUGGGGAUCAAACAGGAUUAGAUACCCUAGUAGUC
rnacentral:rRNA from 1 species